AGUGAACGCUGGCGGCAGGCCUAACACAUGCAAGUCGAACGGCAGCGGGUAGGAAGCUUGCUUCCUAUGCCGGCGAGUGGCGGACGGGUGAGGAACACAUCGGAAUCUACUCCGUCGUGGGGGAUAACGUAGGGAAACUUACGCUAAUACCGCAUACGACCUAAGGGUGAAAGUGGGGGACCGCAAGGCCUCACGCGAUGGAAUGAGCCGAUGUCCGAUUAGCUAGUUGGCGGGGUAAAGGCCCACCAAGGCGACGAUCGGUAGCUGGUCUGAGAGGAUGAUCAGCCACACUGGGACUGAGACACGGCCCAGACUCCUACGGGAGGCAGCAGUGGGGAAUAUUGGACAAUGGGCGAAAGCCUGAUCCAGCCAUGCCGCGUGGGUGAAGAAGGCCUUCGGGUUGUAAAGCCCUUUUGUUGGGGAAGAAAUCCUGCUGGCUAAUACCCGGCGGGGAUGACGGUACCCAAAGAAUAAGC
rnacentral:rRNA from 1 species